GACGAACGCUGGCGGCGUGCCUAAUACAUGCAAGUAGAACGCUGAAGGAGGAGCUUGCUUCUCUGGAUGAGUUGCGAACGGGUGAGUAACGCGUAGGUAACCUGCCUGGCAGCGGGGGAUAACUAUUGGAAACGAUAGCUAAUACCGCAUAAUAGUAGAUGUUGCAUGACAUUUGCUUAAAAGUUGCAAUUGCAUCACUACCAGAUGGACCUGCGUUGUAUUAGCUAGUUGGUGGGGUAACGGCUCACCAAGGCGACGAUACAUAGCCGACCUGAGAGGGGGGACGGCCCAACUUGGAAGGGGACAAGGCCCAGACCUCCUCGGGGAGGAGCAGGAGGGAAACUUCGGCAAUGGACGGAAGUCUGGCCGAACAACGACGCGGUAGUGGAGAAGGGUUUCGGGUCGGAAAACUCUGUUGUAAGAGAAGAACGAGUGGGAGAGUGGAAAGUUCACACUGUGACGGUACCUUAAGAGAAAGGGACGGCUAACUACGUG
rnacentral:rRNA from 1 species